UGAGGAAUAUUGCACAAUGGGCGAAAGCCUGAUGCAGCGACGCCGCGUGGAGGAUGACGGUCUUCGGAUUGUAAACUCCUGUUAAGUGGGGCAAAAGAUUCAUUCUUAAUACGAAUGAGUGAUGAUGGUACCACUAGAGAAAGCACCGGCUAACUUCGUGCCAGCAGCCGCGGUAAUACGAGGGGUGCAAACGUUAUUCGGAAUCAUUGGGCGUAAAGGGUGCGUAGGCGGCAAAAUAAGUCAGUUAUUAAAUCUCUUGGCUUAACCAAGAGUCUGUGGUUGAAACUAUUUGGCUUGAGGAUGGAAGAGAGAAGUGGAAUUCUCGGAGUAGCGGUAAAAUGCGUAGAUCUCGAGAGGAACACCGAUGGCGAAGGCAGCUUCUUGGUCCAUAUCUGACGCUGAGGCACGAAAGCGUGGGGAGCAAGCAGG
rnacentral:rRNA from 1 species